GAUCUACUCCCUCCGUCCCAAAAUUCUUGUCUUAGAAUUGUCUAGAUACGGAUGUAUCAAGUCACGUUUUAGUAUUAGAUACAUCCGUAUCUACACAAAUCUAAGACAAGAAUUUUGGGACGGAGGGAGUAUAUG
rnacentral:pre_miRNA from 1 species